CAGGCCUAACACAUGCAAGUCGAACGCCCCGCAAGGGGAGUGGCAGACGGGUGAGUAACACGUGGGAACGUGCCCUUUGGUUCGGAACAACACAGGGAAACUUGUGCUAAUACCGGAUGUGCCCUUCGGGGGAAAGAUUUAUCGCCAUUGGAGCGGCCCGCGUCUGAUUAGCUAGUUGGUGAGGUAAAAGCUCACCAAGGCGACGAUCAGUAGCUGGUCUGAGAGGAUGACCAGCCACAUUGGGACUGAGACACGGCCCAAACUCCUACGGGAGGCAGCAGUGGGGAAUCUUGCGCAAUGGGCGAAAGCCUGACGCAGCCAUGCCGCGUGGAUGAUGAAGGUCUUAGGAUUGUAAAAUCCUUUCAGCGGGGACGAUAAUGACGGUACCCGCAGAAGAAGCCCCGGCUAACUUCGUGCCAGCAGCCGCGGUAAU
rnacentral:rRNA from 1 species